rnacentral:rRNA from 1 species
AAGACCUCGAAUCAGGUAGGGAUACCCGCUGAACUUAAGCAUAUCAAUAAGCGGAGGAA